UCAUUUUUACAGUGCCUUAAGACUCACCAG
rnacentral:piRNA from 1 species